GACGAACGCUGGCGGCGUGCCUAAUACAUGCAAGUCGAACGCACAGUCUAUACCGUCGCUCGCUACACGAUAGACUGUGAGUUGCGAACGGGUGAGUCACGCGUAGGUAAUCUGCCUGGUAGCGUGUGAUAAGUAAUGUUAACGUUAGCUAAUAUCGCAUAAUAUUAAUUAUUCCAUGGUACUUAAGUGAAUGGUGCAAUUGCACCACUACCAGCUGGUUCUGUGUUGUAUUAGCUAGUAGGUGAGGUAACGGCUCACCUAUGCGGAGAUACAUAGCCGACCUGGGAGGGUGAUCGGCCACACUGGGAAUGGGGCAAGGCCCAGACUCCUACGGGAGGGAGCAGUAGGGGAACAUCGGCAAAGGAGGGAAGUCUGAACGAACAACGACGGGGGGGUGGAGGAAGUUCUCGGGUCUGAAAGCUCUGUUGUUUGGGAAGGAAAGGUGUGAGGGUGGAAAGUUCACAUUGUGACGGUACCUAAACAAAAAGGAACGGCUAACUACGUG
rnacentral:rRNA from 1 species